GAUGAACGCUGGCGGCGUGCCUAAUACAUGCAAGUCGAGCGAACGGACGAGAAGCUUGCUUCUCUGAUGUUAGCGGCGGACGGGUGAGUAACACGUGGAUAACCUACCUAUAAGACUGGGAUAACUUCGGGAAACCGGAGCUAAUACCGGAUGAUAUUUUGAACCGCAUGGUUCAAAAGUGAAAGACGGUCUUGCUGUCACUUAUAGAUGGAUCCGCGCUGCAUUAGCUAGUUGGUAAGGUAACGGCUUACCAAGGCAACGAUGCAUAGCCGACCUGAGAGGGUGAUCGGCCACACUGGAACUGGGACACGGUCCAGACUCCUACGGGAGGCAGCAGUAGGGAAUCUUCCGCAAUGGGCGAAAGCCUGACGGAGCAACGCCGCGUGAGUGAUGAAGGUCUUCGGAUCGUAAAACUCUGUUAUUAGGGAAGAACAUAUGUGCAAGUAACUGUGCACAUCUUGACGGUACCUAACCAGAAAGCCACGGCUAACUACGUG
rnacentral:rRNA from 1 species